AUGUGCGCGCCUAGUAAAAUGGUCCGGCGAUCGUCGUUGACGCUCCUGCUCUGCCUCGCCGCUGCCGUCGCCGGUGUACUUCAAGUUCGCGGCCAGCGAGCGCCUAGUCUCGAAGGUUUCAUCACCAUCGACUGCGGCUUGCCGGAGCAGAGCAGCUACGUGGACCCUGUCACCAAGAUCCGUGCCAUGUCGGACGCUGGCUUCACGGACGCCGGCUACAACCGCAACACCUCGGCCGAGUACAUGGGCCAGCUGCGGAUGGCCCCAAACUACCACAACGUGCGCAGCUUCCCGGACACGGACCGCGGCUGCUACACCCUGCCGUCCCUCACGCCGGGCUCCAAGUACCUGCUCCGGGCCUUGUUCAGGUACGGCAACUACGACGGCCUCGACAGGCUCCCGGUCUUCGACCUCUACCUCGGCGUCAACUUCUGGCGGACGGUGAACAUCUCCACGGCCGAGGGAGUGGUGCAGGCUGAGGUCAUCGCCGUUGUGCUGGACGACUCGGUGCAGGUUUGCCUGGUGAACACUGGCUCCGGGACACCAUUUAUCUCCUCCUUGGCCCUGAGGCCUCUGGAGAACACGUUGUAUCGGCAGGUGAAUGCGACACAGGCGCUUGUCCUCGUCGACAGACGCAACAUGGGCGACACGGGCAACUUCACCAUUAGGUACCCGGACGACCCAUACGACCGGGCUUGGUUACCGUGGAGCAACCCGAAGCUGUGGCUGGACAUCUCAACGAAGGAGAAGGUUCAAGAGAAUAUCGGCAGCCUCCGCCUCCACGCUCCGUCUGCUGUGUUGCAGACUGCCGUCACGGUGCUCAACGACUCUGAGUCCAAGACCGUCGAGUUGUCGUGGAAGACGGAGAUGGACCACGUCGACCGAAUGCUCGGAUGCGUCGCCAUCUUGUAUUUCGCCGAGCUGCAGAUCCUGGCCGGCGAUGCCGUGCGCGAGUUCAACAUCAUCGUCGACGACGGACCCAACCACCCAUAUAGGCCCAAGUACCUCGUCGGUGACGCCUUAUACGAUGUUAAACCCCACGAAUGCUUGAGCCGGUACAACAUCACCAUGGUGGCCACGGCCAACUCGACACUGCCACCGACCAUCAACGCCUUCGAGUAUUUCUCCGUCAUCUCUACAGCCAACGUUGGGACCGACCUUCAGGAUGUUUCUGCCAUCAACGCAAUCAAGGUUAAGUAUCAGAUGAAAAAGAAUUGGAUGGGUGACCCAUGCGCUCCGAAGACUUUUGUGUGGGAUGGGUUGACCUGCAGCUAUGUUAUAUCUGGGCGUCCAAGAAUCACAAGCAUAAAUAUGUCAUCGGGCGGUUUGAAAGGCGAUAUAUCAUCUUAUUUCGCUGAUCUCAAAGACAUCCAAUCCUUGGAUCUUUCGUACAACAAACUGACAGGAUCAAUUCCUAAUGUUCUUGCACAACUACCCUCUCUCGUGUUGUUAGAUUUGACAGGUAAUCAAAUUAAUGGAUCCAUCCCCUCCGGGCUUCUAAAGAGAAGUCAAGAUGGCACCCUAACUCUAAGAUACAACAAAAACCCAAACCUUUGCAUCGACAACAACUCUUGCCAACCAACAAAAAGGGAAAACAAUUUUAAGAUUGUCGUUUGUAUUGUUGUUCCGAUAGUUGCGGUUGUUGUGAUUGGAGCACUUGUAGUACUUCUGAUUCUCAUGGUGAGAAAAAAGAAAGGAUCUACAAAGAGCAGCAAACAACAAGACCGUCAACACCUGGACAACCACCGAUUCACGUACAAAGAACUAGAGACCAUAACAGACAACUUCAAGAUAGUGCUUGGCCAAGGAGGGUUUGGAACUGUUUAUGAUGGCUUCUUGCAGGAUGGUACCCAAGUUGCAGUCAAGUUGCGGUCUCAAUCCUCCAGUCAAGAUGUAAGAGAGUUCUUGACAGAGGCUCAGACAAUAACGAAGAUCCAUCACAAGAAUCUUGUAUCAUUAGUUGGUUAUUGCAAGGAUGGGAUAUAUUUGGCUCUUGUCUAUGAGCAUAUGUCUAAAGGAAAUCUAGAAGAUAAACUCAGAGGAAAGAACGACAAGGAUGUAUCCUUGACCUGGAGACAGAGGCUCUGCAUCGCACUACAAUCCGCACAAGGGCUUGAGUAUUUGCACAAGUCAUGCAGCCCACCCUUUGUGCAUCGUGAUGUGAAGACAUCAAACAUCCUACUGAAUAAAAAUCUUGAGGCCAAAGUGGCUGAUUUUGGCUUGAUGAAGGCUUUCAGUAAAGAAGAUGAUACACAUAUAUCUACGGUGCGGGUGAUUGGCACAAGAGGCUACCUUGCCCCUGAGUAUGCAGCGGCCUUGCAAUUGAAUGAAAAGAGCGACGUAUAUAGCUUCGGUGUCGUCUUACUGGAGGUAAUCACAGGACAACCCACCAUCCUUGAAUCUACGGAGGUCAUCCAUAUCGUCCAAUGGGCACGACUUCACCUUUCGGGAGGCAACAUCGAGGAAGUGGUGGACGGCCGAAUGCAAGGCGACUUCAAUGUGAACGGCAUGUGGAAGGCCAUGGACCUAGCGCUCAAGUGCACCGAGCAUGACCCCGCACAACGACCCACAAUGACGGAUGUGGCUGCCCAGUUGCAAUACUGCCUCGAGUUGGAGAGCGAAGAUCAAAACAGAGGCAAUGCUAACAAUAACUUCCACAUGAUGAAAGAUAGCAGUCGUGACCGUGAUCUACCGAUGAUGUAA
rnacentral:rRNA from 1 species